rnacentral:siRNA from 1 species
ACUCCGAUUAUUGAAAACACUCCU